ensembl:lncRNA
UCUUGAUCUAAAUUGUGGAGGGAGAUUAGACCUCCUUUCAGUCUUUGGAGAGGGCAGGCUUCAAUAAGGCUCCAUAGUUUGCUCCUCUCCGCAGGCACACAGUGGGCUCGGGCUGCUUCCCAACUGUGAAGGCUGGCCAUGCAGGGACCCUGACCAGUGGAUCUGUUUAAGGUGGACCACUGUCUCUAGGGAGGUGGGUGCCAGGGAUCUGUUUAAGGUGGACCACUGUCUCUAGGGAGGUGGGUGCCAGGGAUCUGUUUAAGGUGGACCACUGUCUCUAGGGAGGUGGGUGCCAGGGAUCUGUUUAAGGUGGACCACUGUCUCUAGGGAGGUGGGUGCCAGGGACUGGUUGGGUCGGGUCUGACACCAGAUGGUUGUUUGGGAUGUCUUUGGAUUCCCAUUCGGUUGCCCAGGCCGACAUGGGAUCACAGACAGUGGGUGGAGGGUCCUUCCAAGUUGGACGUCUAGAUCGGAGACAUGCAGGUGGUGGGUUGUAGCGUCGGCAUGGAUUGGUAAGUGGGGGGAAUCUUUGACAUUU